ensembl:snRNA U6 U6 spliceosomal RNA
AAACAUUUUUUGCUUAUAUACUAAAAUUGGAACAAUACAGAGAAGCUUAGCAUGGCCCCUGCGCGAGGAUGACACACAAAUUCGUGAAGCACUCUUUUUUUUU